GUUUCACUCCGUCGUUUGCGUUUGUAUCGCGUCAGAGAAAUGAACGAAGAAUUGAGGGAAGCGGUGAAGAGAGGUGAUAUUGAGUCAGUAACGCGUCUUUUGGAUACUGAAGUUGAUAUCAAUGGAUGUGAUGAGGAUGAGAGAAGGAGAUUGUUGAGUUUCUGCUCACUAAAUCAGUAGAUGUUAAUGGGAGUAACAGGUGGGGAUAUACAGCUUUGAUUGUAUCUGCAAUUAUUGGAUCACAAGAUAUUGUUGAUCUAUUACUGACUGUCAAA